rnacentral:rRNA from 1 species
GAGUUUGAUCAUGGCUCAGAUUGAACGCUGGCGGCAUGCUUUACACAUGCAAGUCGAACGGCAGCGGGGUAGUGCUUGCACUACUGUCCGGCGAGUGGCGAACGGGUGAGUAAUAUAUCGGAACGUACCGAGUAAUGGGGGAUAACCAAUCGAAAGAUUGGCUAGUACCGCAUACGUCCUAAGGGAGAAAGCGGGGGAUCGCAAGACCUCGCGUUAUUCGAGCGGCCGAUAACUGAUUAGCUAGUUGGUGGGGUAAAGGCCUACCAAGGCGACGAUCAGUAGCGGGUCUGAGAGGACGAUCCGCCACACUGGGACUGAGACACGGCCCAGACUCCUACGGGAGGCAGCAGUGGGGAAUUUUGGACAAUGGGGGCAACCCUGAUCCAGCCAUGCCGCGUGUAUGAAGAAGGCCUUCGGGUUGUAAAGUACUUUUGUUAGGGAAGAAAAGGGAAGUGCUAAUACCACUUUUUGCUGACG